rnacentral:rRNA from 1 species
AUUGAACGCUGGCGGCAGGCUUAACACAUGCAAGUCGAGCGGUAGCACAGGGGAGCUUGCUCCCUGGGUGACGAGCGGCGGACGGGUGAGUAAUGUCUGGGAAACUGCCUGAUGGAGGGGGAUAACUACUGGAAACGGUAGCUAAUACCGCAUAACGUCGCAAGACCAAAGAGGGGGACCUUCGGGCCUCUUGCCAUCAGAUGUGCCCAGAUGGGAUUAGCUAGUAGGUGGGGUAAUGGCUCACCUAGGCGACGAUCCCUAGCUGGUCUGAGAGGAUGACCAGCCACACUGGAACUGAGACACGGUCCAGACUCCUACGGGAGGCAGCAGUGGGGAAUAUUGCACAAUGGGCGCAAGCCUGAUGCAGCCAUGCCGCGUGUGUGAAGAAGGCCUUCGGGUUGUAAAGCACUUUCAGCGAGGAGGAAGGUGGUGAGCUUAAUACGCUCAUCAAUUGACGUUACUCGCAGAAGAAGCACCGGCUAACUCCGUGCCAGCAGCCGCGGU